CUCAAGUUAGUUGGUUGCUGAAGGUUAAACUGUUUGGAUUAAUUCAUUCAAGUCCGGUGUUUUUGUGGAUUUACUCUCAGAACAAAUAAAAUAAAAAAAGCAUUUAAACACACACAACUGCGAUUAUUUAACAAAAAGUACAAAUUACCCAAUAAACAAAGAAAAUCCAUUGAAAAUGAGUUCCGCCGAUUAUUAUCCAUUCAGAUGUACUCCAGCUGUCUACCCUGCCGAGCCUUUUGACGCCAAUGAAGAUGCCGCUACGUUGCGCAAAGCCAUGAAAGGUUUGGGUACCGACGAGAAAGCCAUCAUCGAAGUUUUGGCUCGUCGCGGUAUCGUUCAACGUAUCGAAAUCGCAAACGCCUUCAAAACCCAAUACGGCAAGGAUUUGAUUUCCAACCUCAAAUCCGAAUUGGGAGGCAAAUUCGAGGAUGUCAUCCUUGCUCUCAUGACGCCAUUGCCGCAAUUCUACGCCAAGGAAUUGCACGAUGCUGUCGCCGGAUUGGGCACUGACGAAGAAGCCAUCAUCGAGAUUUUGUGCACUUUGUCGAACUAUGGCAUCAAAACGAUCGCCGAGUUCUAUGAACAAAUGUACGGAAAAUCCUUGGAGGAAGACUUGAAAGGCGACACAAGCGGAGCUUUCAAGCAUUUGUGCGUAUCCUUGGUUCAGGGAUGUCGCGACGAGAAUACCGGAGUUGAUGAGGGCGCUGCUUCCGCUGAUGCUCAAUCCUUGUUCGAAGCUGGCGAAGGACAAUGGGGCACCGAAUCAUCAGUAUUUAACCAAAUUUUGUGCACUCGCUCCUACCAACAAUUGCGCCAAAUUUUCGUCGAGUACGAAAAACUUGCGGGACAUGACAUCGAAAAAGCUAUCAAGCGUGAAUUCUCCGGAAAUGUCGAAAAAGGAUUCUUGUCCAUUGUUCGUUGCGUCAAAUCAAAAGUUGAUUACUUUGCUGAACGCCUCCAUGAUUCCAUGGCUGGAAUGGGCACAAAGGACAAAACUUUGAUCCGUAUCAUCGUCAGUCGUUCCGAAAUCGAUUUGGGAGACAUUAAGGAAGCAUUCCAAGCCAGAUACGGCAAGAGUUUGGAGUCUUGGAUCAAGGAUGAUGUUGGAGGCGACUCGGGUGAUUGUUUAGCGAUGAUCGCAUGUGGCAGCUGUUAACUUCGAUAUUAAUACUUUCUCUUGAGACUAACCUAAAAGCCUUAUAACAUAGUGAUGUUGAAAAGAAACUUGGCUACUGUCUUGCUACGCUCGUAGCUUAUUGAGAACAUUUUGCUUCCGAACAUACAUUUUUGGCAAUAACAUAAUAAUCACACAGUAUUUACAGUACAGAAAACACAUUUCAACUUCCAUUUAUGAUAAAAAAAAAUGCACAAAAGUUUUGUUUGUAAAAAAAAAUUGUUAGAAGUGCCUUUUUGUACCUAAUAAUGAAUUUAGAGUUUGAAUUCCUUUUUGAUAUGAUUAACAACCUGAAUUAUUAUAUCUGUAUUAUCUAUUGAAAAAAAAUAUUAAUUUAUAUAAAAACUUGGAAUCUCCAA